UGCAAUUGAUUGAAGAGUUUUUCGUGGGUGGAAGUGGAAAAAUUGGUGAGCGGAAGUGACUAAUUAGUUGAGUGAUAGCGACCACAGGAAAAGCAAAAUGGAUAAAAGAAAACUAUCAACCGCCGGAGAUACACUCUAUGAGACCCUAGGACUACCCAAAACUGCCACGGCUGAUGAUAUUAAGAAGACCUAUCGAAAAUUGGCCCUCAAGUAUCAUCCAGAUAAAAAUCCCAAUAACCCAGAAGCUGCUGAGAAAUUCAAAGAAGUCAAUCGAGCUCAUUCCAUCCUCAGUGAUCUCACCAAAAGGAAUAUUUAUGACAACUACGGCUCCCUUGGUCUCUAUAUUGCUGAGCAAUUUGGCGAGGAGAACGUCAAUGCUUAUUUCGUCGUUACUUCUCCGGCAUGCAAAGCUCUAUUCUUGAUCUGUGGCAUCGUGACGGGAUGCUACUGCUGCUGCUGCUGCUUCUGUUGUUGCUGCAACUUCUGCUGUGGGAAAUACAAACCAAUGCCACCUGAACAUUCCGGAGAUUAUCACCAUUUGAACGUGAGUGGUCGAGAUGGAGGCAAUGCUAGUAAUAUGCCUGGAGGAUCAGGUCCAACGACACAACAGCCAAGGAGACGAGAGGAUUUGGCUGAUCUGGAGGAUGUUAAGGUGGGUGGUGGUCCGGUGACUUCGCAGCCAACUGCUGGACAGGCGAGUGGUGCUGGAAUGCCAGUGUACGCAAUGCCACCACCACCAGCUUCUAGUACAAAUCCCUUCUACUCUGGUGCCACAGAGUCUACUUCACUGAAUACAAGUGAACAAACCACCUACACUCCCGGACAAUAAAAUCAUGAUCAUUAACCAGAAAAGUUUUGAAAGAAAAAAAAAUAUAUAUAUAUAUACCUUUUCUCACAUAAUGGAAAAAAGCUGAAUGUAGGAUAUGUGUUGAGGAAUGACUUCAUCCCCACGACAUGGUUGAAAAGAAAGUUGAAGAGAGAACUUACAUUAAAAUUUCGAUAAAAGAAAAAAACACCGCAUGGAGUUCAUGACCGUGAGAGGAAAAAGAAUGGAAUGAACACAUACGAUAUGUUUUAAUUAAAAAUUCGUAAAUACAUGGAAUUAUAAUAUUAUUCACUUUCAAGUGACAACACUUUUUUUUGGAGAAACAAAUUUAAAAAAAAAAGUGUCAUGCAGAAAAAGAGGAAACAAUUAAAAGUAAAAAGAAAAACAAUCGUAGCACCAGAUAAAAAUAAAUAAAAAGAAAAUAUAUUUACUUUGAAAUAUUUUCAUGAUAACAUAAAAGAGAGAAAAAAUGAAAGGAGAAAACUUUUAGUAACUACCACAUCUUUGCUGCUGCAGAUUUAUGACUAAAAAAUAAUAAUUAAUUAAUUAAACAAUGUAUUUAAAGUAAAGUAAAAAAAUGAAAAUUGAAAUAAAUAUAUUGCGUGUCUAUUAUAUUUAAAUUAUGAAUGAAAUAAAUUAAAUUAUAUGACCGGAGAUAAUAUUUACCAAAUAGAUUUUAAAACAAGUUAAUCAAAUUAUUAAAAAAAAAAUAAAUUGAAGUGUUUUCUCGUUCAUUGGAAAACUAUAUUUUUGUAAAUAUAUGACUCCAAAAAAAACUAAAGCAGAAAUUCUUGAAUUUUUGCUCAUCCUUCCAGCAGUUUUUAACAAUUUUAUUUUGUUGAAAUUUUGCUUUUUUGUAUUCUCUUUACUUGCAAACAAUAUUAUACUCUAAAGUUCUAAAAGAAAACUUAUCUAUUUUUUCCUUAAGAAAAAAAGUAUCUUUUGCCAAAAAAUGUUAAUUGAAUUUUGAAAAAAAAAAAUUAAAUCUUAAAAAAACCGAAAACAUAGUCACUUAUAACUUGUUAUGUGAAUUUAUAUUUUAGAUUAAAAACAAUUUGUUGAGAAACAUAAAAAAUGUAAAUUUGAGAGUUAAAAGCACAUAAAUGUUAUUUGAAGUCUAUUUAUUAAAAAAAAAUUAAAAGAAAAGAUUUCAGCAAGUAUUUUUUAGCCUUAAAUGUCCGAAAGAAUGAUUCUUGAAAUAAAUUUAAAAAAAAAAGAGAACACAUCUUUAGACAAUAUAAUCUUUAAUAUCUUUAAUUUUCACAUAUCUUUCUUUCAUUAUUACCUUUAAUGAAAAAAAAAAAAACAAUUCAAUUAAAUUGUAAAUGCUACAAAAUAGAAGAAAAUGCAGAAAGAUUUUAUGUAUAUCAACGAAAUUGAAAAAUAAAAUCUGUAUCACGUGAAA